UACGUAGGGGGCAAGCGUUGUCCGGAUUUACUGGGUGUAAAGGGUGCUCAGGUGGCUUUGUAAGUCAGCGGUGAAAUCUUAGAGCUCAACCCUGAAACUGCCGUUGAUACUACUUGGCUUGAGUAUGGAAGAGGUUGAUGGAAUUUCAGGUGUAGCAGUGAAAUGCGUAGAGUAUCUGAAAGAACACCAGUGGCGAAGGCGGUCAACUGGUCCAAUUAACUGACCACUAAAGC
rnacentral:rRNA from 1 species